CGCUAUAGUGGAGAUAACAGGUAUAUUCAGAGAUAGUGGGAAAAUGACUUUUUAACAUUAACAUUUAUUAGAAACGGUGGGCGUUAUGGGAGUGACAAAAAUAUUUUGACAUAUCGCUAGACAAUAGCAAAUCAAUAAAAUUAAAAAAUUUAAAAAUAUUUUUCAAAACGUGUUGAAACAUGUUAUCUGGUCGGACGAAUCUAAGUUUAAACGUUUUUAAACGGAUACUGUUGGCAGAGACCUGGUGACAAGCUUCAAAGGCAUCAUCUUUUAAGCCAACUAAUAACAAAAGCCUAUGGACCGUGAUUGAGGAGCUCCAGGACCAAAUAUCCCCAAAACGGUGCCAGGACCUGGUUGACUCAAUGCCAAAACGUUUCGCAGCUCUUAUUGCUAAUAAAGGAUACACUACAUAAUAGUAAAUUGGUGGGAUGGGCGUAGUUUUAAUAUGCAAUCACUUGUUAUUAGUGAACUUGUUACUGUUAAGUUUAUAUUUUAAGUUUAAAGCAUUUUUCAUAAAGUGAUGCUAUUAUUUUUUUCGCGCUAUUUUGUUAUUUUUAAUAAAGUUCCUUAAAUAAGUUAAGAAUUCAUAGAACAGGUGAUUUUUUUUCAUUUCCUAAAAAGUGAAUUAUUAAACCUUUUUAAAAAGGUAUUUCAGCUCCUUUAAAACACUAAUCCCUAAUCCGCAGCUGUAUGUAUGUAUGUAUCCUAACACCGUUGUAGAAGUAAAACUCAAGUAAAUUUUGUAAUUUUUAAAAUAAAACUUAUUAUUCAUGUUA